rnacentral:rRNA from 1 species
ACGAACGCUGGCGGCGUGCCUAAUACAUGCAAGUCGAGCGGAAUGAUGAAGAAGCUUGCUUCUUCUGAUUUUAGCGGCGGACGGGUGAGUAACACGUGGGCAACCUACCUUGUAGAUUGGGAUAACUCCGGGAAACCGGGGCUAAUACCGAAUAAUCCAUUUUGCUUCAUGGCGAGAUGUUGAAAGACGGUUUCGGCUGUCACUACGAGAUGGGCCCGCGGCGCAUUAGCUAGUUGGUAGGGUAAUGGCCUACCAAGGCGACGAUGCGUAGCCGACCUGAGAGGGUGAUCGGCCACACUGGGACUGAGACACGGCCCAGACUCCUACGGGAGGCAGCAGUGGGGAAUCUUAGACAAUGGGGGCAACCCUGAUCUAGCCAUGCCGCGUGAGUGAAGAAGGUUUUCGGAUCGUAAAACUCUGUUGUUAGGGAAGAACACGUACGAGAGUAACUGCUCGUACCUUGACGGUGCCUAACCAGAAAGCCACGGCUAACUACGUG